GGCUAGAAAGCAUCUGAUCAUGUGGCCAGAGCUGACUGCAUAGCAAAGCCUUCCUCUGCACACUUGACCUCAACUCCCACCGUGAGCUUGUAGCUCAACAGUCGAGAUAGCUCUCCUUGGCCCUGACAUCACUGACACUUUUCCCAACUCAAAGGAGGAGUAAAUGAGAUCAUAAGAAACAACGACAGUGUCCAUAUAGAAGUGCUGAAGACGGGUUAGCAGUUCCUGGUGCCUAUUAUAAUUGUAUGCAGGAGUUUGACAUGCUGGAAACGUAAGCUUAUCUCACCGUAAGACCCAUUAAGCAGGUGAUACAAACUCCAUCACAAACAGGCUUCAAUAACAAGGAAAUUUACUGUUUCAUGAAGCUUCAAAUCCAAAAAAUAGUUUCUUGGGCUUUGAGAUUUGCUUUCCCUUGUUGGAAAAAGUUGUCAUUUUCAGUGUGCUAGUCCUCGAUCCAGUGAAUGCAGUAAGAGCUAACCUCACGGAAAUUCCUCUGAUGGUCCCCGA